GGCUCUGUGGCGCAAUGGAUAGCGCGUUGGACUUCUAAUUCAAAGGUUGUGGUUUUGAGUCCCACCAGAGUCG
rnacentral:tRNA from 1 species